GAUGAACGCUGGCGGGGUGCCUAAUACAUGCAAGUCGAGCGAACAGACGAGGAGCUUGCUCCUCUGACGUUAGCGGCUGACGGGUGAGUAACACGUGGAUAACCUACCUAUAAGACUGGGAUAACUUCGGGAAACCGGAGCUAAUACCGGAUAACAUGUUGAACCGCAUGGUUCAACAGUGAAAGACGGUUUUGCUGUCACUUAUAGAUGGAUCCGCGUCGCAUUAGCUAGUUGGUAAGGUAACGGCUUACCAAGGCAACGAUGCGUAGCCGACCGGAGAGGGUGAUCGGCCACACUGGAACUGAGACACGGUCCAGACUCCUACGGGAGGCAGCAGUAGGGAAUCUUCCGCAAUGGGCGAAAGCCUGACGGGACAACGGCGCGUGAGUGAAGAAGGUCUUCGGAUCGUAAAACUCUGUUAUUAGGGAAGAACAAAUGUGUAAGUAACUAUGCACGUCUUGACGGUACCUAAUCAGAAAGCCACGGCUAACUACGUG
rnacentral:rRNA from 1 species